CAGAAAUUAAAGUACGUCAUGAUAAUCAUUUCUGCCGUGUAUCGUAAAAUCUGCCUGAGGCUCAAAAUAGGAUAUAAAGGAUAGAAAUGUAAAAUAUUCUGGAUUCUGCUAACGUACAGUCUAUACAAAUAGGAGAGGCUUUCAACUGGCAAGCCAUCCAAACAUGUCAUACUGGUCCCAAAUAUGUCUAAGUAUACUAUCAUGAACUUAACCUUUUAACAAUUUCCAUUUCUCUGAGCGAAACAUAGUCUGAUCUUGGGGUGAAUGUGACGGGAUGUUCACUUUUUGAAUGUUUUCCACUCAUAAUCUUCCUCACUGUAGAAUAAUGGACUUCAUAUUGUUGUAAAUGGCUGUUUUACUCUUCACAGAUUGAUAGCAGCAACAAUUGCUUCUCUAAGAUCAUUGCUGAUGUCUUUCUCUUUGGCAUUGUGUUAACACACACCUGAAGACUCAAGACCACGAGGACCAGAUGGAAAUAAGGAGUAAAAAUGAACAAAAUAGAUGAAGACUCAAAGCAGUGGAAACAUGGAGUUUGUGAAGAUCGUCAGAUGGAGAAGCUGCAGUGAUAUAAGACCACUGUUCUCUGAUCCACACACAGCUGUGAAGAACUGCUCUCAUCAAUUACAGAAGAUCAGACAUGAUCACAGAACAUUAAAGUCUCCUCUGGACUCUGUAGCUCCUGACAGCAUCUACUCAUUUACAUUUCAUUCAUUUAGCAGACGCUUCUGUUCGAGCAACUUUUUUUUUUUUUUUUGUGAAACAAAUGAGAAACAUCAGAAUCUACACCAUGAGAUAAGUGUCUCAAGUUUAGGAAGAGGAAUGUUGUCCCAUUCUUGUCUAAUACAGGCUUCUAGUUGCUCAACUGUCUUAGAUCUUCUUUGUCACAUCUUCCUCUUUAUGAUGCACCACAUGUUUUCUAUGGGUGAAAGAUCUGGACUGCAGGCUGGUCAUUUCAGACCCGGAUCCUUCUUCUACACAGGCAUGAUGUUGUAAUUAAUGCAGUAUGUGGUCUGGCAUUGUCAUGAUGGAAAAUGCAAGGUCUUCCCUGAAAGAGACGAUGUCUGGAUGGGAGCAUAUGUUGUUCUAGAACUUGGAUAUAUCUUUCAGCAUUGAUGGUGCUCACCUUUCCAGAUGUGUAAGCUGCCCAUGCCACACGCACUCAUGCAAACCCAUACCAUCAGAGAUGCAGCUUCUGAACUGAGCGCUCAUAACAACUUGGGUUGUCCUUGUCCUCUUUAGUCCGGAUGACAUGGCGUCCCAGUUUUCCAAAAAGAACUUCAAAUUUUGAUUCGUCUGACCACAGAACAGUUUUCCACUUUGCCACAGUCCAUUUGAAAUGAUCCUUGUCCCAGAGAAAACACCUGCGCUUCUGGAUCAUGUUUAGAUAUGGCUUCUUUUUUAACCUAUAGAGUUUUAGCUGAUAACAGCGAAUGGUACGGUGGAUUGUGUUCACCGACAGGGCCAUAGCUGGAGUUUGCAGGGCCCCGGUGCUGGUUUGUACCAGUGGGCCCUGUUUGAAAUGGUUUAAUGAGUCUUCACUGUGAAAAUUAAGUAUACAGUCAAACCAAAACGUAUUCAGACACCUUCAACAUUUCUCACAUUAUCACAGUUUAUUUGCUAUAGUUUAGAAAAUGGUAAUAAAAUAUGACAAGAACUCAGAGUUAAACUGUAUCCGAACAAAUUCAUCUUGAUAAAGUCAGGUAACUUUGAUAGAAAUGUAUGUAAUGGAUAACAAUCAACCAAAACUUCAGACAACUAUAGUCCACUGUAUGAAGAAUAUUUGGGUAUAAUAUGUCACAGAUCGCUUUAUUUUGUAUUACUCACUUUCAUAAAUUAUAGGCUGGUGUCCUGCAACUACUACUAUAGUACUAGUAUAUCUGGUGUCUGAAUAAUUGUUGGUUUGACUGUGCAUUAAUUAUUUUUAAAACUACAAAGUCAGUCAAGGGCAGUGUUUGAUUUUCUUUCUUUCAUUUUCUUGGAUUAACAUUACAGCAGCUAGUAGCUAAAUUGGCCGCGGUCACUUUAAGAGACAAUGAAUGCAUCCAAUAUUAUACACAACCGAUUUUUUUCUAAACUGUUUACUUUCACUUAAGACAUAACCGACAGUUUUUUCAAACAUACUUUCCAAUACGGAUAUUUUGACACGUUGUAUAUAUAUGGUACAAGAGCAUAAAAAGGCAAAUUCAGUGUUCAACAGUUUUUAAAUGCCUCUCUCUGCGUGAGCCUGAACACCAGAACACCACGGUGCUGAAUUGGGCUCUUUCACAUCUUUUUCUGUUUGUUCAAACUGUGAUUUGUUCAGGUGCAGGAGGAAGUUCGAGGAGAACUUCCUGAAGGAGAGCUCGGUUCAGGGUCGCUGUCUGAUUUUCGGCUCUCUCUCUGCGUGUGUACCGAACACAGUGCGCGAGUAACCAGCCACUCAGUUGAGCUUUUCCGCAUCUAGUGUUUGGAUGCUUUAAACUCUUUUGAAUGUUUGAAUUGGCAAGGUUUAAAAACACGUGAAAAUGAUAAGCUUUCGUGACGACGGGCAGAAGUGGCCUGUCAACUGUCCUGAGCAUGUUUUUAGGCUGGCCUCAGUCAGACGGUUGAGACACUGACACUCUGAGAGGCUCUUUUUAUACCCAAUCAUGUUGCCAAGGGACCUAAUAAGUGUCAAAUUGGUUCUCCAGCUGUUCUUUAUAUGUACAUUUAACUUUUCCGGCCUCUUAUUGCUACCUGUCCCAACUUUUUUGGAAUGUGUAGCUCUCAUGAAAUCCAAAAUGAGCCAAUAUUUGUCAUGACAUUUCAGAAUGUCUCACUUUCAACAUUUGAUUUACAUGUAUUGUAUUGUGAAUAAAAUAUAAGUUUAUGAGA